rnacentral:rRNA from 1 species
AGCAGCCGCGGUAAUUCCAGCUCCAAUAGCGUAUAUUAAAGUUGUUGCAGUUAAAAAGCUCGUAGUUGAAUUUCGGGAUCAAGGGAUCGGUCAUGCCUUGGUAUGUACUGGUUUUAUUGGUUCUCACCUUCUAAAGAACCAUGAUGUCAUUCAUUUGAUGUUAUGGGGAAUUAGGACUGUUACCUUGAAAAAAUUAGAGUGUUUAAAGCAAGCUUACGUUUGAAUACAUUAGCAUGGAAUAAUGAAAUAGGACAUCAGAUUCUAUUUUGUUGGUUUCUAGGAUCGAUGUAAUGAUUAAUAGGGAUAGUUGGGGGCAUUAGUAUUCAAUUGUCAGAGGUGAAAUUCUUGGAUUUAUUGAAGACUAACUACUGCGAAAGCAUUUGCCAAGGAUGUUUUCAUUAAUCAAGAACGAAAGUUAGGGGAUCGAAGACGAUCAGAUACCGUCGUAGUCUUAACCAUAAACUAUGCCGACUAGGGAUCGGAUGAUGUUAAUUUUUUAAUGACUCAUUCGGCACCUUACG